rnacentral:rRNA from 1 species
UACGGAGGGUGCAAGCGUUGUUCGGAAUUACUGGGCGUAAAGGGCUCGUAGGCGGCCAACUAAGUCAGACGUGAAAUCCCUCGGCUUAACCGGGGAACUGCAUCUGAUACUGGAAGGCUUGAGUAUGGGAGAGGUAAGCGGAAUUCCUGGUGUAGCGGUGAAAUGCGUAGAUAUCAGGAGGAACACCUGCGGUGUAGACGGCUUACUGGACCAUAACUGACGCUGAGGCACGAAAGCGUGGGUAGCAAACAGG